CCUACGGGAGGCAGCAGUGAGGAAUAUUGGUCAAUGGACGAGAGUCUGAACCAGCCAAGUAGCGUGAAGGAUGACUGCCCUAUGGGUUGUAAACUUCUUUUAUAUGGGAAUAAAAUGUUCCACGUGUGGGCUUUUGUAUGUACCAUAUGAAUAAGGAUCGGCUAACUCCGUGCCAGCAGCCGCGGUAAUACGGAGGAUCCGAGCGUUAUCCGGAUUUAUUGGGUUUAAAGGGAGCGUAGGUGGAUUGUUAAGUCAGUUGUGAAAGUUUGCGGCUCAACCGUAAAAUUGCAGUUGAAACUGGCAGUCUUGAGUACAGUAGAGGUGGGCGGAAUUCGUGGUGUAGCGGUGAAAUGCUUAGAUAUCACGAAGAACUCCGAUUGCGAAGGCAGCUUACUGGACUGCAACUGACACUGAGGCUCGAAAGUGUGGGUAUCAAACAGGAUUAGAUACCCUUGUAGUC
rnacentral:rRNA from 1 species